rnacentral:tRNA from 1 species
GGCCGGAUGGCAGAAUGGCUAUGCAGAGGACUGCAAAUCCUUGUAUGUCGGUUCGAUUCCGGCUCCGGCCUCCA